rnacentral:lncRNA from 1 species
CUGACAUGAGCCGGGACAGUCCCAAUCCUUCAGAAAAGCUCUACAGCAGUUCCAAAUCCUUAUGGGCCUGUGCGCAGGCUGCUUCUGUAAAGAACACAACCAUCCCUUUAACAACCUGUGCUUUGGAAGAGACUGCAGAACCGUCUUCACUAAGUCUCCUGGAUGCCCAUUGUCCCAGCAAGGAUAUGUGUGCGACCUACAUUGUGCUUCUGUGAUCCACAUCAUGCAAAGAACCAGGAACCUUGCAAGGUUCUCGUGGGACCGUGCGAGUGAAAGUGUCUUGGAGACUGUCACAGGCCAUACCAAGCCCUUGCAGCUUCCACUUUCGCCCUCUGGAACUGCUGCCCUGGGGCCACCAUGUGAGGAAGCUGCUAGCCUGCUGGAAUAGGGGAGGCCACAUGGAGGAGAAGUGAGAUCCCCAACUUGACCGCCAGCACCAGCUGCCAGACUGUCAGAGAGGCCAUCCUGAGAUGACCUUCUAGCCCAGAUUCUGUGGAUCCGGAAUUUGGACAGAGAACAGAGAGGAUGACUUAUGUCUGCGCUACAACGUCUGGGGCCUCAAUAGAAAAGACUCAAAGGCUGGGGUGACUCGACAGCUAGGGUUUAGAAUCAUGUGAAUGCUUGUUCA